rnacentral:rRNA from 1 species
UACGGGGGGGAGCAAGCGUUGUUCGGAUUUACUGGGCGUAAAGGGCGCGUAGGCGGCCACCGCAAGUCGACUGUGAAAUCUCCGGGCUUAACCCGGAAAGGUCAGCCGAUACUGCGGGGCUAGAGUGCAGAAGGGGCAACUGGAAUUCUCGGUGUAGCGGUGAAAUGCGUAGAUAUCAGGAGGAACACCGGUGGCGAAGGCGGGUCUCUGGGCCACUACUGACGCUGAGAAGCGAAAGCAUGGGGAGCGAACAGG